CCUACGGGUGGCUGCAGUGAGGAAUAUUGGUCAAUGGGCGCGAGCCUGAACCAGCCAAGCCGCGUGAGGGAUGACGGUUCUAUGGAUCGUAAACCUCUUUUAUAAGGGAAUAAAGUGUGGGACGUGUCCUAUUUUGUAUGUACCUUAUGAAAAAGGAUCGGCUAACUCCGUGCCAGCAGCCGCGGUAAUACGGAGGAUCCGAGCGUUAUCCGGAUUUAUUGGGUUUAAAGGGUGCGUAGGCGGUCUUUUAAGUCAGCGGUGAAAGUCGGGGGCUCAACCCUAGAAGUGCCGUUGAAACUGGGGGGCUUGAGUAUGCUUGAGGCAGGCGGAAUGCGUGGUGUAGCGGUGAAAUGCUUAGAUAUCACGCAGAACCCCGAUUGCGAAGGCAGCCUGCCAGGCCAUGACUGACGCUGAUGCACGAAAGCGUGGGGAUCGAACAGGAUUAGAUACCCCUGUAGUC
rnacentral:rRNA from 1 species